AGUUGUCAGACCACACGCAAGUGUGCUACUCUGCGAAGAGUACUGUCUGCGUUAGAGCCCCAGGAGGACUGGGA
rfam:West Nile virus strain Rabensburg isolate 97-103, complete genome.